rnacentral:lncRNA from 1 species
AAGGCAGUAAUGGUAUAUGCCUUCUCUCAAAGUAUGUGGUAUUUUUGGUAUGAGGCAUAGUGAUAUUGCCUUCUCUCUCACCCUACUCUAAUAAGGUUUUGAUAUAUGGAGCUCAUAGGUGGGAGACAGAUAAUACAUACUUACAAGACAUUUAUUGCAUAGUCAAACCAUGGAUCCAGAGAAACAAGUCAAUAAGUCAAAUCAAGUUGUGCAUGUGUGGCGAGUGAAUGGUGUAUGGUGAUAACAAUGGUGAAAGUAUAAUUCUACUUUUGCUCUUUUGAGGAGAUACAUACCUUUCUUGCACUUGAAGCUUUUUGAGGGGAAUGAGAUGCUCUAUAUUUUCUUUUUCUUUUCUGUCAGGUGGGUAUCUUGUACCCCUAAUUCUACUGUCGGACACUUGUCUAUUUUUACCUCUCGUCUCACUUUUUCUUUUCUUCGAGGUUCCGGGCACUUGCCCCUUUUUAUUUCCUCGUAUUUUUUUCAGAGCACUCACCCUCCUAGAAUAAUGUAGCAAGUGGUAGUAACCAAAAUAUCUUGAGCAUUUAUUUCACGGGGAAUAACAGGGAUAGGAUAAUGUUUUUGGCUAUUCUCUCCCAGAUAGGAGUAGAAUCAUUUUAGGUGAAUCUGGAGAUGGGAAUGAGUGGAUGUAUGUGGAUGCGUACUUCCAGAGUAGAAGUAGCAUGUAUGAGUGAACGUGCAAGUGAAUCUUGAUUUUA